AUUAGAUACCCGCGUAGUCCCAGCCGUAAACAAUGUGCGUUAGGUGUGUCGGUAACCACGUGUUACUGAUGCGCCGAAGAGAAAUCGUGAAACGCACCACCUGGGAAGUACGGUCGCAAGGCUGAAACUUAAAGGAAUUGGCGGGGAGCACCACAACAGGUGGAGCCUGCGGUUUAAUUGGAUUCAACGCCGGACAUCUCACCGGAUAAGACAGCUGAAUGAUUGUCAAUCUGAAGGUUUUACAUGACUAGCUG
rnacentral:rRNA from 1 species